UACGUAGGGGGCAAGCGUUGUCCGGAUUUAUUGGGCGUAAAGAGCGUGUAGGCGGCUAGGUAGGUCCGUUGUGAAAACUCGAGGCUCAACCUCGAGACGCCGGUGGAAACCGUAAAGCUAGAGUCCGGAAGAGGAGAGUGGAAUUCCUGGUGUAGCGGUGAAAUGCGUAGAUAUCGGAAGGAACAUCAGUGGCGAAAGCGACUUCCUGGACCAAUACUGACGCUCAUGUGCGAAAGCGUGGGGAGCAAACAGG
rnacentral:rRNA from 1 species